UACGUAGGGGGCAAGCGUUGUCCGGAUUUAUUGGGCGUAAAGCGCGUGUAGGCGGCAAGGUGUGUCGUGCGUGAAAUCUCCCGGCUUAACUGGGAGGGGCCGUGCGAAACUGCCUGGCUUGAGGUCGGAAGGGGAAAGUGGAAUUCCGGGUGUAGUGGUGGAAUACGUAGAUAUCCGGAGGAACACCAGCGGCGAAGGCGGCUUUCUGGUCCGAUACUGACGCUGAGACGCGAAAGCGUGGGGAGCGAUCCGG
rnacentral:rRNA from 2 species